rnacentral:rRNA from 1 species
GACGAACGCUGGCGGCGUGCCUAAUACAUGCAAGUCGAGCGGACGUUUUUGAAGCUUGCUUUAAAAACGUUAGCGGCGGACGGGUGAGUAACACGUGGGCAACCUACCUUAUCGACUGGGAUAACUCCGGGAAACCGGGGCUAAUACCGGAUAACAUCUAGCAUCUCCUGGUGCCGGAUUGAAAGAGGGCUUCUUGCUCUCACGAUAAGAUGGGCCCGCGGCGCAUUAGCUAGUUGGAGAGGUAAUGGCUCCCCAAGGCGACGAUGCGUAGCCGACCUGAGAGGGUGAUCGGCCACCAUGGGACUGAGACACGGCCCAGACUCCUACGGGAGGCAGCAGUAGGGAAUCUUCCGCAAUGGACGAAAGUCUGACGGAGCAACGCCGCGUGAGUGAUGAAGGGUUUCGGCUCGUAAAGCUCUGUUAUGAGGGAAGAACACGUACCGUUCGAAUAGGGCGGUGCCUUGACGGUACCUCAUCAGAAAGCCACGGCUAACUACGUGCCAGCCGCCGCCGUAA